UACGUAGGGGCAAGCGUUGUCCGGAUUUACUGGGCGUAAAGGAGCGAUGUAGGCGGCCAAACAGGUCCGUUGUGAAAACUAGGAGGCUCAACUUCCAGACGUCGACGGAAACCGUGUGGCUAGAGUCCGGAAGAGGAGAGUGGAAUUCCUGGUGUAGCGGUGAAAUGCGCAGAUAUCAGGAAGAACACCCGUGGCUAAGGCGGCUCUCUAGUACGGUACUGACGCUGAGACGCGAAAGCGUGGGGAGCGAACAGG
rnacentral:rRNA from 1 species